rnacentral:rRNA from 1 species
UGGGGAAUAUUGGACAAUGGGCGCAAGCCUGAUCCAGCCAUGCCGCGUGAGUGAUGAAGGCCCUAGGGUUGUAAAGCUCUUUUGUGCGGGAAGAUAAUGACGGUACCGCAAGAAUAAGCCCCGGCUAACUUCGUGCCAGCAGCCGCGGUAAUACGAAGGGGGCUAGCGUUGCUCGGAAUCACUGGGCGUAAAGCGCACGUAGGCGGGUCUUUAAGUCAGGGGUGAAAUCCUGGAGCUCAACUCCAGAACUGCCUUUGAUACUGAGGAUCUCGAGUCCGGGAGAGGUGAGUGGAACUCCGAGUGUAGAGGUGAAAUUCGUAGAUAUUCGGAAGAACACCAGUGGCGAAGGCGGCUCACUGGCCCGGUACUGACGCUGAGGUGCGAAAGCGUGGGGAGCAAAC